UACAGCACGGUCAUCCACAACAAGACAAACACCGCUGUAAACGUUUUAACAUUGGGAGUGCUCUUUUUUCGGUAGAUCGGAUCGAUAUGGAAAGAUUUUGAAAGCAUCUUUCAGGCCGUUAUCGCAAGAAGAGAGAAAGAAGUAUUGCUGCAAACUUACAGAACAUUGGAGAGACUGCACCUGCAGUAGUACACACAGUUUUGGUCUUCUUACUUCAAAAGGGGAAGUUACACUGAAAACUGUUCAGAGAAAGAUCAUUAGGUUGAUUGCCGCAAAGAGGAGGUUUCUCGUGAAGGAAAGUUCAGCCCUUCUACCACUGAUACAGUGGUGGCAGUGUACAUCAUCUACAUGAUGCACUCCCUGACAUCACCAUGGGAGUAUCUACACCAUACUGCUAAAGAAGGCAGCUCAUCAUAACCUUCCCAAUGGCAAGGAGGAAAGGGUAAGAAAUAAUGGCCCAGCCAGUGACAUCCAAAUUCGAAAGAAGUACUUUUGAAGUGUAAUCAUUGUUGCAAUGCAAGACGUUAGCAGUGACAAUUUCAACUUGUACAAAGUCCCAUAUAUCCGAAGGAAAAACCUGUGUUACCUCAUUAGUACCCAAUAAAGGUGACUGUCUACCACAACAA